UCCUAUUUUCAUGAUGUUUUUUCUCGUUUUAUCCUUAUAUGUUGUCCUACAAUAAAAUAUAGAAAAUAGCUCAGAUUAAAUAGCAUAACAUCAAGUUUAGCAACCCAAAAAUGGAUGAAAAUGAUGUUGUUUUAAGGCACUAUUGAAGCGCCCCACACUUAUCUUGUGUUUUCUCUCAAGUACUACACUGUACACUCCAUCA
rnacentral:lncRNA from 1 species